AACGAACGCUGGCGGCAUGCCUAACACAUGCAAGUCGAACGAGGCCUUCGGGUCUAGUGGCGCACGGGUGCGUAACGCGUGGGAACCUGCCCUUAGGUUCGGAAUAACUCCCCGAAAGGGGUGCUAAUACCGGAUAAUGUCUUCGGACCAAAGAUUUAUCGCCUUUGGAUGGGCCCGCGUUGGAUUAGCUAGUUGGUAGGGUAAAAGCCUACCAAGGCGACGAUCCAUAGCUGGUCUGAGAGGAUGAUCAGCCACACUGGGACUGAGACACGGCCCAGACUCCUACGGGAAGCAGCAGUGGGGAAUAUUGGACAAUGGGCGAAAGCCUGAUACAGCAAUGCCGCGUGAGUGAUGAAGGCCUUAGGGUUGUAAAGCUCUUUUACCCGGGAUGAUAAUGACAGUACCGGGAGAAUAAGCUCCGGCUAACUCCGUG
rnacentral:rRNA from 1 species